rnacentral:rRNA from 1 species
CCUACGGGUGACAGCAGUGGGGAAUAUUGCACAAUGGGGGAAACCCUGAUGCAGCGACGCCGCGUGAGUGAAGAAGUAUUUCGGUACGUAAAGCUCUAUCAGCAGGGAAGAAAAUGACGGUACCUGACUAAGAAGCCCCGGCUAACUACGUGCCAGCAGCCGCGGUAAUACGUAGGGGGCAAGCGUUAUCCGGAUUUACUGGGUGUAAAGGGAGCGUAGACGGCAGCGCAAGUCUGGAGUGAAAUCCCAUGGCUUAACCAUGGAACUGCUUUGGAAACUGUGCAGCUAGAGUGCAGGAGAGGUAAGCGGAAUUCCUAGUGUAGCGGUGAAAUGCGUAGAUAUUAGGAGGAACACCAGUGGCGAAGGCGGCUUAAUGGACUGUAACUGACGUUGAGGCUCGAAAGCGUGGGGAGCAAACAGGAUUAGAUACCCCGGUAGUC